rfam:Myotis lucifugus cont2.2152, whole genome shotgun sequence.
GCCAGUGUGGUUCAGUGGAUAGAAUGUCGGCCUGUGUACUGAAGGGUUGUGGGUUCAAUUCCCGAUCAAGGGCA